UCGUGUCUCUCUCUCUCCUCUCUCUCUUCCUCUCUCCUCUCUCUCCUCUCUCUCUGUCUCUCCUUUUGCCAUCUACAUGAUCCUUGAUUAAACAUGGAACAGAGUUAUUAAAAAGGGGGGGCGGGUAAGGACUCAAGGAGAGGAAAUGCAACUGUCAGAAAUCGGGACCGCCAGAUUUCCUGGUGAACCUGCCUCUGUCUGAGAGGGUGUCUCACCGAACGGUAGCUAAGAUCUCACCAGAACCGCGCGGAAGUGAGGAGUCGCGGCCAAAGGCGCCCGCUGGAGCCUCCUCUCUGGGCCGGACCCCAGCCCGAGCCGCGAAAGGAGCCCCCCGCCCGGAUCACAGCAGCUGCAGCUGCCGCUGAAAUUCGCUGUGGCCGCUGCCUCUUCCCGCUUUAAUCCCAGACCUCCAGUCAUUGGGCAGCUCCUCAGAGGCAAGAAGUCAACACCAUGGCAACCCGACAAGCCUAUCAAAUCACGGGCUGGCGUGACAGCAGCAACACUGCAGGCAGAAGUGGGCUGGGCGGAAGAGCAAAGUGGCCACUGCGCUCAGGGUGCUGUGAAAACCAGAAUUGGGCCAAUGCAGUUUGCUUUCAACUAUCAUGGUGGAAACAGAGAACAUCAGAGAGGAACAAAACGAUUCCAUCAUUUUUAUGUGACUCAUAUGCAAAACAAAAUUUGCUCAUCUGUGUGGUCUACUGAUUGGAAAUAAAAUCAGAUAUUUCAUCUACCUUCAUUGAGUAAGAGAAAAAUCAGUGUGAUUCCAAGAAGAGAUGAACUCAUUUGGUAAAGAAAUACUUGUUUUACAAUUUUUAGAAAGAAUUAUCAAUAACAUCCUGUUAAAAAAUGUCAGAUGCCAGAGCAUAUUCUUUAUUUUUAAUAUUUUAAUUAUAUUAUUAUUUUAAUAAAACCAUGACUGGCACAUGAAAGAACACAUUCCAGUUUUGGAAAGAUGCAGUUUCAUGAAUAUUGAACUUUCCUUCUGUGUAUAUAAAUCAUAAAGUUCAAGUGUCACAAAAAAUAUCACCUCAUAUUUUUGGCUUAUGCUUUCACAUGCUUUCAUGAACUUACUUAACCAUAUUGCCUUAUUUUUGUACAUAGAUACAGCUUUACUUCACUUGUUCUGUUUUUGUUUCUACACUUAAAUUCUAUAACCCAAAAAAUAUGCUGACUUGCAAAGAUUUUUUUUAUUUUGUUUUUAUUUCUGUUCUCAGAUUUGUUUUCCUGGUACUAUAGUAUUUUGUGAUGAGAUGGCAUUGAAUGAAUAAAUAAAAAUCACACGGAAUGAGAAAUAACCAUGGAGGGACAACCAUUUUACUCUGGAAGAGAAUCCUUACUCACACACCUUUUGAAAUUAUUUUUAGCACAUGGUCUUGGGUUUUCAGUCUUUGAACUUCUUCUAUGACACAGGGACAAACUCAAAAACCCGAAAACUGCAGAAGUCAGAUACUGGAAAACUCUAAUAAAAGUGGACAUGUUUGACAGCUGACAAACAUGAGUUUGAUGAAGCAUGACAAAUAUUGAUGUGUUUCAUGAAUAUGUGUGUGUCUUUUGAGAGAACUUGAUCACUAAGAUGGAUGAAAGGCAGAUCACUAAUAAAUCUCUAUUUUUAACUUUGAAAAGAGGAAAGAAAUAUGAAGAGUUAAGAAGAGAAGUACUAUCAAACAGUUGAAUUCUUAGUUGGCAAAAUUUACACCAAAUCCUUUUGAGUGUGCACCCAAUCUGAAAUUGUCUUCUUGCUUUACUUAUUUCCUUCUUUGUUUUAUCUCUUUAUUUAGAAUGUCAGAUCCAAAAUGGCUAAGAUCUUGUAUAUUUUGCUCAUCCGAAUGAGCAAGGCCGAAUGCCUAAGGCCAUUGUAUGUGCUCAGUAAAAAAAUAUUCAGUGAAUGAAUGAAUGAAUGAAUGAAUGAAUAGAGCCAAGAAAUUUUGAUUCCAAUAUUUGCUUGCAACUAAAUAGCUGGAAGACUUUGGGAUAAUCACUUCUUAGAGGGUCAUUUUCUUCACUUUUAAAAUCAUGGCAUAGAGGGUGCCUGGUUGCCUUAGUGAGUAGAAUAUGAGACUCUUGAUCUUGAGGUCACAAGGGUUUGAACUUCAAGCCUUACACUGGGCAUAGAACCUACUUAAGUAAGAAAACAAAUGAUGGUAUAGUCUAGCUAGCUAAUGUUUCUUACAGUACUAAUAUUCAUUGAUGGCACACAUGACAACCACCUAAUUUUUUAAAGGAAAUUUCACUUAUGUAAUGGAUUUUAUUUGACCAAUCUUUGUUGUUGUUGUUGUUAUUUAUGGAACAUUUAUCCAAGAUGAAAUUAUUUAUGAUGUUAAUUAUCAAUGCCCUUUUUAAUGUCUGCUUUUUGUUCCUGAUUAAACCAUAUUUUUUGUCUGAUGAA